AUUGAACGCUGGCGGCAGGCCUAACACAUGCAAGUCGAGCGAGAGGCGGACGGGUGAGUAAUGUCUGGGGAACUGCCCGAUGGAGGGGGAUAACUACUGGAAACGGUAGCUAAUACCGCAUACGCUCAGAUGUGCCCCGAUGGGAUUAGCUAGUAGGUGGGGUAACGGCUCACCUAGGCGACGAUCCCUAGCUGGUCUGAGAGGAUGACCAGCCACACUGGAACUGAGACACGGUCCAGACUCCUACGGGAGGCAGCAGUGGGGAAUAUUGCACAAUGGGCGCAAGCCUGAUGCAGCCAUGCCGCGUGUAUGAAGAAGGCCUUCGGGUUGUAAAGUACUUUCAGCGGGGAGGCGUUACCCGCAGAAGAAGCACCGGCUAACUCCGUGCCAGCAGCCGCGGUAAUAC
rnacentral:rRNA from 1 species